GAUGAAGAACGUAGUGAAAUGCGAUAAGUAGUGUGAAUUGCAGAAUUCAGUGAAUCAUCGAAUCUUUGAACGCACAUUGCGCCCCUUGGUAUCCCGAGGGGCAUGCCUGUUCGAGCGUCAUUUCAACCCUUAAGCCUAGCUUAGUAUUGGGAAUCGACUUUACUGUCGUUCCUCAAAUUCAACGGCGGAUUUAUAGCAAUCUCUGAACGUAGUAAUUUUUUUUCUCGUUUUUGAAAUACUAUAAACCUCAGCCGCUAAACCCCCAAUUUCUUAUGGUUGACCUCGGAUCAGGUAGGAAUACCCGCUGAACUUAAGCAUAUCAAUAAGCGGAGGA
rnacentral:misc_RNA from 1 species